rnacentral:rRNA from 1 species
UGGUGGAGUGAUUUGUCUGGUUAAUUCCGUUAACGAACGAGACCUCGACCUGCUAAAUAGAUCGGCAAAUUUUCGGAUUUGUACGUGUCUUCUUAGAGGGACUAUCGGUGCGUAGCCGAUGGAAGUUCGAGGCAAUAACA